CAAGUCGAACGGGCCGGUUUUCGGAUCAGGUCAGUGGCGUAAGGGUGAGUAAGGCGACGGCAACCAACCCCAUGGUUGGGCAUAGCCGCGGGAAACUGCGGGUAAUUCCCAGCGAUGUUCGUGUCGGGCAUCCGGUGCGAACCAAAGUUUCGGCGCCGUGGGACGGGCCGUCGUGGUAUUAGGUCGUUGGCGGGGUAAUGGCCCACCAAGCCUCUGAUGCCUACCGGGCGUGCGAGCGUGGCCCGGCACACUGGGACUGAGACACUGCCCAGACUCCUACGGGAGGCUGCAGUCGAGAAUCUUCGGCAAUGGGCGCAAGCCUGACCGAGCGACGCCGCGUGGAGGAUGAAGGCCUUCGGGUUGUAAACUCCUGUCGAGGGGGAGGAAGGCGCAAGCUUGACCUAUCCCUGGAGGAAGCACGGGCUAAGUUCGUGCCAGCAGCCGCGGU
rnacentral:rRNA from 1 species